UGUUUUAUUUAAUUGCCAAAGUAACAAGCUUUCUGCCGCGCUACAUUAUGGGUAAACGAAAAUGGUCACGUGACGGGACGGAGGGGUUGUUGGCGCUCCGUCAAACCGCUGCUUUCAGUUGACAGUGAAUGUCCAGGACCCGCAUAUACGUUUAAUUUCGUUAAACACAGGGGUUCAAAUCACUUUUCCAUCCGGUGACCUGUGUGGAGGUGCCUUUUACCCAGGAAAGCAACUAUUUUGUGGACAGCCUAGUUUGAAAAAACAACUACAAACAACGGAUUCUGAAUUACGAGGAAAACCACUCGACAGAACAGAACAGAUUUUCCACAUCGCAGAUGGAGAUCUCUAUGGGGGAGGAGGAAAAAAAUGACCUGUCUAGUCUAGACAAGGUCUAGCGCGGGAUGCAACCAAGGCCUUACAGUAGGGAAAUAUUGCUCCCUACCCGUCCUGCUUAAGACGACACCAAGGAAUCACAUCACCAAACCCUUUCACACACAACCCAACACACAGAUUAGCAGCCGGGUCUGUAAUAAAAAACAUCCGUUGAAUUAUAACGCUUUUAACCAAAGUGUGUGUGUGUGGGGGCGAGGGCAUGUCACACAUCAUCUAUGACCAGAAUGCGGCCCCUACUAAGGUGAUGCAGAGCAUCCAAAAGUUGCCACACCACUCACGACAACUCCUCCCGCACUCGCACUGAGGCAGCACAGGUUUGACCCUUAAAAUGGAUUGCACAAGAAAAGCAAGUGUAAGCCAAUUUCCUCGGUGAAGGAAGUAAACAGAACAAAUAGCAUUGGCUACAGCUGUUCUGUGAAUGGCAAGGAUCCAAAAGGAAGACGAGGCCAGCGAGCUUUGGCCAGAAGAAACAGCCCUAAUCUCUGCAUUUCCACAAAGCUUGACACGUAUCUUUAUUUAGCUGUGGCCUCAGUCCUCGAACGUCGGUGUGUUUUAGGUUUUAUUAUUGAAAAAGGAUGACCUUUCUCUCGCCUCGCCUUCCACCAAACCAUCUAAAUGCUAAACCGCCCACUGGAUGAAACACAGCUAUUUCUAUGAUCCACGGCAGCCACAACGGCAACGGGUCACCAUGGCAGGGUUCCAAGGCAAAAGCGAAGUGGGACAGUUAUUUUUGAAAUCCAUCUCUGAGUUCAAAACCAUUUUGUGGACCACAGAAGAUAUUGAGCCGGAGGUUAGUCUGUUAUGACCUACAUGGAGGAGGUCGAGGCUGAAGAAGGCAAUGACCCUAUAAAGGGGUGGAAGUGAGAUCCAAUCCUAACCAGGCAGUACCAGCCCUGAAUAUUAUCACUAAGACUCAGUCAUCCAUUGCUGAUUCGUUACAUACUGCAGCCCCUCUCUGCAACAACACUGCUAUAUGUAAAUCAUAUGUGUUAUGCUUAUUGCAGUGGUCUGGCUUGGUCUGUCACGGCGGGCCUCUGUGUCUUUCCCUUGUUCUGUGUCUUUAAGCAGGCAGGUUGGAUGGUGGGGCUGAAGACUAGCCAUUAGAAUGAUCCAGGGCUAUGUGUCCCAGAUCAUUCUAACGGCUCUCCAGCCAGCCUUAAAAGGCUCACAAGUCCCUUAGAGACGAGAGAGAAGCCCUCCGGGCUUCUCUCUCGUCUCUUAAGCCCUGGGGCUUUUCUCUUACCGGCAACUACUUCAUCUUUUUGACUCUGGUUUUUCCACCUCAGAACACCCACCUAACCUACUUUCCUUUUCACUCACACACCUACAUGACAGAUUUACUGACUUUUACUGACUUCUUCCUAUUAAAUGGAAGCUACGAUACAAUCGUCCCUUCCAUUAAACGACACAAACUCUACAAGCCACGAGUUUGUUUCGUUAAAUGCUUUUUUAUAAUAAAUUCUUCGUAAUUUUUCACUUAUAGUGUGUGUGCCUCCAUUUUUGUUGAGGCCCUUAGCCAGGUCAUAACUCCGUCGAUCAUACCAUCUGACAAUGUCAGUAUCAAAUGUGAAUUUUAAUUGCUUGUGUAUAGACCUAGUCAGUUUGUAAAUGUAGAACCAUAUUGUAAUGGAUUCAUAACUGCUUUUAUUCUGCCCUCUCAGUAUGUGUUGGUUAAGGGGGUUUGACUCCACCAAAAAGGAUCUAGAUCAGCUCCCCAAUGUAUGGUUCAUAAAUCGUUGAUACAUACCCCUACCAGCUCCUU